rnacentral:rRNA from 1 species
UCCAGACUCCUACGGGAGGCAGCAGUGGGGGAUAUUGGACAAUGGGGGAAACCCUGAUGCAGCGACGCCGCGUGAAGGAAGAAGUAUUUCGGUAUGUAAACUUCUAUCAGCAGGGAAGAAAAUGACGGUACCUGACUAAGAAGCCCCGGCUAACUACGUGCCAGCAGCCGCGGUAAUACGUAGGGGGCAAGCGUUAUCCGGAUUUACUGGGUGUAAAGGGAGCGCAGGCGGCGCGCCAAGUCUGAUGUGAAACCCCGGGGCUCAACCCCGGGCAUGCAUUGGAAACUGGCGGGCUGGAGUGCCGGAGAGGUAAGCGGAAUUCCUAGUGUAGCGGUGAAAUGCGUAGAUAUUAGGAGGAACACCAGUGGCGAAGGCGGCCUGCUGGACGAUGACUGACGUUGAGGCUCGAAAGCGUGGGGAGCAAACAGGAUUAGAUACCCGCGUA